rnacentral:piRNA from 1 species
UGAACAUAGUCCUGAACUGGUCUCUGAGUU